GAAAUGCGAUACGUAAUGCGAAUUGCAGAACUCAGUGAAUCAUCAAAUCUUUGAACGCACAUUGCGCUUCCGGGUAUCCCUGGGAGCAUGCCUGUUUCAGUGUCUGUAACACCCCUCAUCCACUAUUGAUUGUGCAAACGGUCAAUAGGUUGAAGUGAUGGACAGAUGAGCAUUCCCAGUUGCUAACCUCCAACUGUGAUGCUUCAAGUAUGGAAACAUGCGCCUUGAAAAUUGCUUGGUGAAAAGCUCUCUUUUCUCCUCUUUUUCUCCUGCAUGGUGUGGUAGUUCACUCGGUCUCCGAGUUGAAUAAACAAAUGCCCCCAAGCAGACUUAUGGAAAUUGAGUUUUGAUGGAAAGUGUUUAGCAAUCUUUUUUGAUCAACGUCGAGUCUUUGGCUUGUGUUGAAAUAUAAAGAGUAGCCCGUUUUUAAGGAGUUCCGUGAUGUUGAUGUGUUAAGUCACUCGACACCCAAACUUUCAUACUGGACCUGAAAUCAGGCAAGAGGACCCGCUGGAUUUAAGCAUAUAACUAAGCGGAGGAAAAGAAACUAACAAGGAUUCCCCU
rnacentral:rRNA from 1 species